GCUCGAUCUGGUCGACGGCCGGGAUGAUGCCGGUCUCAAGGAUCGCCGGCAGGUACCGGUAGUCGAAGUUCGAGACGCCGAUCGACCG
rnacentral:tRNA from 2 species